CCUACGGGGGGCAGCAGUGAGGAAUAUUGGUCAAUGGACGAGAGUCUGAACCAGCCAAGUAGCGUGAAGGAUGACUGCCCUAUGGGUUGUAAACUUCUUUUAUAUGGGAAUAAAACAGGGUAUGCAUACCCUCUUGUAUGUACCAUAUGAAUAAGGAUCGGCUAACUCCGUGCCAGCAGCCGCGGUAAUACGGAGGAUCCGAGCGUUAUCCGGAUUUAUUGGGUUUAAAGGGAGCGUAGGUGGAUUGUUAAGUCAGUUGUGAAAGUUUGCGGCUCAACCGUAAAAUUGCAGUUGAAACUGGCAGU
rnacentral:rRNA from 1 species